rnacentral:sRNA from 1 species
AGUGAAUAACAUAUACUAAGCAUUAUCAAACACUUUCCAAACAUGAAGGCCAUUUUCAUUGCUUUCUUACUCUUUGCUUCUCUUUUCUUCCUUCCUGCUUCAACUAUGGCUCGAGAACUCAAGGAAGGGACGUUUCAGACAGGAG